ensembl:lncRNA
CAGAAACCUAGUUACAAAACACAACAACUAGACUACAUGAAAAGGCAGAUGCCCUUUCUAGUUUUUAUUAGUUGUCAAUAAUACUUUUCUUUAAAAUAAUUUUUUUAAAAGUUAUAUAUUUAUUUGUCUGAAAUUUUAAUUUACUUUUGUUUCAGAUAACAUUGAAAGGACAGUCAAUGUUACGAUGGAAAUAAAUGAAAGUUUUACAGAUGACUUUAAAAACUCAUCAUCAGAUGCAUAUAAAAAUUUUGAGGAAAAAUUUAAUAGAACAGUAAGUAUCGUGGUUUAGAUUGCUUGAUCACUUAAAUAUUAUUGUCCAGAAACUUUGAGUGAUGAUGUGUCUGCAUACAUUUACAAAAAAAAAUCAUAUUUGCAUACAUUUACUAAAAAUUACCAGUUGAUUUAAAGUACAGUAAUUUAAGUGAAGUUAGUUAUGUUAGUUCUUAAAAAAGCUCUAACUUUUAAUCAUUUGUUUGCAGAUGCCUCUUUGUAUAAGUUGUUACCUUUGCAGUAUUUUUAAGUGACUUAAGUGUUCAAGACAUUCACAAACAAUAUUUUGGACCGCAAAGGUCAUAAUUUUUUGGCUUGAAAUAUUACAUAUAUAUUUUAUUCAAUUAUAGGUGGUAAAGUCUUAUGAAAAAAUAUCCACAUUUUUGCAUGUGGCCAACAUAAUUCUAAGUGCUGGUGGACCAUUACAAAAUAGUCAAAGAAGAAAAAGAAGUUUGUCUUUAAAGGAAACUAACAGGGAAACGGCUAGUCUGAAAGUUGAGCAUGAUGUCCUUCUUGACAUUGAAAAUAGCAAAGAAAACCAAAAUACUUAUGAAAAUAGUGUCAAUAAAGUGAGAGACGCUCUUGUUGACAUAAAAAACAAUCCAGGUAGGUCAUCAUAUGCAUUUUCCCUGUGAUCUAAAUGGUCAUUUGUCUACA